CCUACGGGUGGCAGCAGUGAGGAAUAUUGGUCAAUGGCCGUAAGGCUGAACCAGCCAAGUCGCGUGAAGGAAGAAGGAUCUAUGGUUUGUAAACUUCUUUUAUAGGGGAAUAAAGGUAUCCAAGUGUGGAUAUUUGCAUGUACCCUAUGAAUAACCAUAGCCUAAAUCCGUGCCAGCAGCCGCGGUAAUACGGAGGAUGCGAGCGUUAUCCGGAUUUAUUGGGUUUAAAGGGGGCGUAGAUUGUUGUCUAAGUCAGAGGUGAAAGUUUGUGGUUCAACCAUAGAAUUGCCGUUGAAACUGGAUGGCUUGAGUGUGGUAGAGGUAGGCGGAAUGCGUGGUGUAGCGGUGAAAUGCAUAGAUAUUAGGAAGAACUCCAGUUGCGAAGGCAGCUUACUAGGCAAUAACUGACACUGAGGCACGAAAGCGUGGGGAUCAAACAGGAUUAGAUACCCUUGUAGUC
rnacentral:rRNA from 1 species